CCCUUAGAUGUCCUGGGCCGCACGCGUGCUACACUGAUGCAUACAGCGAGUACUUUCCAGCUCCGCGAGGCAGCUGGUAAUCAGCAAUAUGCAUCGUGCUGGGGAUAGAUCUUUGGAAUUAUAGAUCUUGAACGAGGAAUUCCUAGUAAGCGCAAGUCAUCAGCUUGCGCUGAUUAAGUCCCUGCCCUUUGUACACACCGCCCGUCGCUCCUACCGAUUUCGAGUGAUUCGGUGAACCUUUUGGACAGCGUCUGUCCUCGUGUCAGAUGCUGAAAGUCAAGUAAACCAUAUCACUUAGAGGAAGGAGAAGUCGUAACA
rnacentral:rRNA from 1 species